rnacentral:tRNA from 1 species
GGGCGGUUAGCUCAGUGGUAGAGCACUGCCUUCACACGGCAGGGGUCGACAGUUCGAAACUGCCACCGCCCACCA